CCAUGGCAACUGAAAGAAAGAGGUGGGUUAUAAAUCCUUCGCCACCCUCCUGUGGCGAAGGAGGGGAAGUGGGAGCCGGGAAGUAGAGUUGGCCUUUUGCAGGAGAGUCUGGAGCCGCUUUCUGGGUGAUGCACUCACUGGGGGCAUAGAAGGAUUUGGCUGCCGCUUUGGAGCAUGUAUUUUUUUUUUUUUUUUUUAAUCAUCUUCCUUUCUCUUUUGGAGAGAAAAAUUGGUCACCUCCAGGACUGAGACCCUGACCCUUCCAAGCAUCCCCACUACCAAAGGCUGCCCAAGCCCAGAAGGAUCCCAUCCUGUUCUGUACUGAGGUCACUUCCUUACUCCGUCAAAUUUCACUGGACUGUGGGCUAAUUAAAAGUGCCUCCCUGGCCGGGCGCGGUGGCUCAAGCCUGUAAUCCCAGCACUUUGGGAGGCCGAGGCGGGCGGAUCACGAGGUCAGGAGAUCGAGACCAUCCUGGCUAACACGGUGAAACCCCGUCUCUACUAAAAAUACAAAAAAUUAGCCGGGCGUGUUGGCGGGCGCCUGUAGUCCCAGCUAUUCGGGAGGCUGAGGCAGGAGAAUGGCGUGAACCCGGAAGCCGGAGCUUGCAGUAAGCCGAGAUCGCGCCACUGCACUCCAGCCUGGGCAACAGAGCGAGACUCCGUCUCAAAAAAAAAAAAAAAAAAAAAAGUGCCUCCCUAUUAGCGGGGCGUGGUGGCCCACGCCUAUAAUCCCAGCUACUUGGGAAGCUGAGGCAGGAAAAUCGCUUGAACCCGGGUGGCGGAGGUUGCAGUGACCCAACAUUGUGCAACAAGAGCGAAACUCCUCAAAAAAAAUAAAAAAUAAAAAAUAAUGCCUCCCUGGGGAGACUGUAAUGCCUCUUGGGCAGUGAUCCUUAUUCCCCUCUCCUAUAAUGAUUGGUUGUAGCAGGCUGAACAAAAAGGUUGAGCUUCACUUGUGCUUGUUGAAUAGAAUUCUCAUGCCCACUCCACGUUAGCUCCCCUCACCGUAGGACUAGCUCUGGAAAUUCUAGCUCCUGCAGGAAGCCAACACAGAUAGAGCUACAAGAACCAAAAACAGCCGUAGCUGCUCUUCUAAAUCUCAGUGCCUAACAUUGCCUCUCUUUCCGCCUCCUCUCUCCACCCCCCAAAAAAUGUGGUCCUCCUUGACCUGAGGGAGCUUCCGUCCAAGUCUGUGAGCGCUGAUCAUCCUGAAGAAUCAAAGUAUCAUCAUCCCUUGGCUGGCAAGAUGAACUCCAACAUCAAAACACUUGAAACAGUAGUAUUUUCGCACAAUUUGCCCACUGCCUCUACAUCUCACUUAGUCCUUGCAGUAACAUUUGGAUGAUGUGGCAACUUAUCCAGAAGCACAAAGCCUAAAGAAUGACAGAGCCUGGACUCCUGAGAAGUUCAGCUACUGCCCGCCUUAUGAUAACCAAAAGAAGGCGGCCGGGCGCAGUGGCUCACGCCUGUAAUCCCGGCACUUUGGGAGGCCAAGGCAUGCGAAUCACAAGAACAGCUUAUUCCUCAGAACAUAGAAAUCCGUCUCAGCAGAAGUUAUUUGCAACUCUGUUAUAUUGAAGGCAAUGAAGAUCUGGUUCUUUCUACUUUGAAAGCUUGAUGUAUUAUUUUCACUCCCAAACAAACCUAUUUGUAAAAGCAUCUCUCUCCCAAAAAUAA